rnacentral:rRNA from 1 species
GAUGAACGCUGACAGAAUGCUUAACACAUGCAAGUCAACUUGAACUUCGGUUUGGGUGGCGGACGGGUGAGUAACGCGUACAGAACUUGCCUCACAGCUAGGGACAACAUUUGGAAACGAAUGCUAAUACCUGAUAUUAUGAUUUUAGGGCAUCCUAGAAUUAUGAAAGCUAUAUGCGCUGUGAGAGAGCUUUGCGUCCCAUUAGCUAGUUGGAGAGGUAACGGCUCACCAAGGCGAUGAUGGGUAGCCGGCCUGAGAGGGUGAACGGCCACAAGGGGACUGAGACACGGCCCUUACUCCUACGGGAGGCAGCAGUGGGGAAUAUUGGACAAUGGACCAAGAGUCUGAUCCAGCAAUUCUGUGUGCACGAUGAAGUUUUUCGGAAUGUAAAGUGCUUUCAGUUGGGAAGAAAAAAAUGACGAUACCAACAGAAGAAGUGACGGCUAAAUACGUG